rnacentral:rRNA from 1 species
UGCGUAGGCGGUUUGGUAAGUCUUAUGUGAAAUCUACAGGCUCAACUUGUAGUCUGCAUGAGAAACUGCCGGGCUUGAGUAUGGGAGAGGUGAGUGGAAUUUCCGGUGUAGCGGUGAAAUGCGUAGAUAUCGGAAGGAACACCUGUGGCGAAAGCGGCUCACUGGACCAUAACUGACGCUGAUGCACGAAAGCUAGGGGAGCAAACAGGAUUAGAUACCCUGGUAGUCCUAGCCCUAAACGAUGACUGCUUGGUGUGACGGGUACCCAAUCCCGCCGUGCCGUAGCUAACGCGUUAAGCAGUCCGCCUGGGGAGUACGGUCGCAAGGCUGAA